rnacentral:rRNA from 1 species
GAUGGGCAUGCGUGUCAUUAGUUAGUUGGCGGGGUAACGGCCCACCAAGACCGCGAUGACUAGGGGAUCUGAGAGGAUGACCCCCCACACUGGUACUGAGACACGGACCAGACUCCUACGGGAGGCAGCAGUAAGGAAUAUUGGACAAUGGGCGACCUGAUCCAGCCAUGCCGCGUGAGUGAUGAAGGCCUUAGGGUUGUAAAGCUCUUUU